UACGUAGGGUGCAAGCGUUGUCCGGAAUUAUUGGGCGUAAAGAGCUCGUAGGCGGUCUGUCGCGUCGGCUGUGAAAACUCGGGGCUCAACCCCGAGCCUGCAGUCGAUACGGGCAGACUAGAGUUCGGUAGGGGAGACUGGAAUUCCUGGUGUAGCGGUGAAAUGCGCAGAUAUCAGGAGGAACACCGGUGGUGUAGACGGCUCACUGGACCGUAACUGACGCUGAGACACGAAAGCGUGGGUAGCAAACAGG
rnacentral:rRNA from 1 species